rnacentral:rRNA from 1 species
GCCGGGGUUUCUUUACCAGGUACUGUCAUUAUCAUCCCUGGCGAAAGUGCUUUACGACCCUAGGGCCUUCAUCACACACGCGGCAUGGCUAGAUCAGGCUUGCGCCCAUUGUCUAGGAUUCCCC